rnacentral:rRNA from 1 species
UAGGUGAACCUGCGGAAGGAUCAUUGUCGAGGCCCGUCGAGCAGCGAGACCCGCGAACCGGUGACCCGCCCAGCGAGACGCGCGUGGCCCUCCCGGGGGACCACGCGGCGAACCACCCCCGGCGCGAUGGGCGCCAAGGAAUUGAUGAGAUGGAAUGAGCGCGGCUCCCUCCGGGGACGCCGGCGCGAGUUCGGAACUUACACGACUCUCGGCAACGGAUAUCUCGGCUCUCGCAUCGAUGAAGAACGUAGCGAAAUGCGAUACUUGGUGUGAAUUGCAGAAUCCCGUGAACCAUCGAGUCUUUGAACGCAAGUUGCGCCCGAGGCCACCAGGCCGAGGGCACGCCUGCCUGGGCGUCACGCACCGUGCUGCCCCAACCCGGCGCUCGCCCCAUCCGGCGGCGGCGCCGUCGAGGGGCGGAGACUGGCCGCCCGUGCGCCCCGCGCGCGGCCGGCUGAAAAGCAUUCGCUCCCCCGCSGGGGCGCGGACGCGGCGGUAGGUGGUUUGAGAGGCGGCUGCCUCGUCGGAGCCCGGACGCCGCGCCCGUCGCCCCGCGCCCGGGGGCAGAGCAAAGUGGCACCCAACUCGCGCAGCGACCCCAGGUCAGGCGGGGACACCCGCUGAGU